rnacentral:rRNA from 1 species
UUAAGCGACUAAGCGUACACGGUGGAUGCCCUGGCAGUCAGAGGCGAUGAAGGACGUGCUAAUCUGCGAUAAGCGUCGGUGAGGUGAUAUGAACCGUUAUAACCGGCGAUUUCCGAAUGGGGAAACCCAGUGUGUUUCGACACACUAUCAUUAACUGAAUCCAUAGGUUAAUGAGGCGAACCGGGGGAACUGAAACAUCUAAGUACCCCGAGGAAAAGAAAUCAACCGAGAUUCCCCCAGUAGCGGCGAGCGAACGGGGAGGAGCCCAGAGCCUGAAUCAGUGUGUGUGUUAGUGGAAGCGUCUGGAAAGGCGCGCGAUACAGGGUGACAGCCCCGUACACAAAAAUGCACAUAUUGUGAGCUCGAUGAGUAGGGCGGGACACGUGGUAUCCUGUCUGAAUAUGGGGGGACCAUCCUCCAAGGCUAAAUACUCCUGACUGACCGAUAGUGAACCAGUACCGUGAGGGAAAGGCGAAAAGAACCCCGGCGAGGGGAGUGAAAAAGAACCUGAAACCGUGUACGUACAAGCAGUGGGAGCCUCUUUAUGGGGUGACUGCGUACCUUUUGUAUAAUGGGUCAGCGACUUAUAUUCUGUAGCAAGGUUAACCGAAUAGGGGAGCCGAAGGGAAACCGAGUCUUAACUGGGCGUUAAGUUGCAGGGUAUAGACCCGAAACCCGGUGAUCUAGCCAUGGGCAGGUUGAAGGUUGGGUAACACUAACUGGAGGACCGAACCGACUAAUGUUGAAAAAUUAGCGGAUGACUUGUGGCUGGGGGUGAAAGGCCAAUCAAACCGGGAGAUAGCUGGUUCUCCCCGAAAGCUAUUUAGGUAGCGCCUCGUGAAUUCAUCUCCGGGGGUAGAGCACUGUUUCGGCAAGGGGGUCAUCCCGACUUACCAACCCGAUGCAAACUGCGAAUACCGGAGAAUGUUAUCACGGGAGACACACGGCGGGUGCUAACGUCCGUCGUGAAGAGGGAAACAACCCAGACCGCCAGCUAAGGUCCCAAAGUCAUGGUUAAGUGGGAAACGAUGUGGGAAGGCCCAGACAGCCAGGAUGUUGGCUUAGAAGCAGCCAUCAUUUAAAGAAAGCGUAAUAGCUCACUGGUCGAGUCGGCCUGCGCGGAAGAUGUAACGGGGCUAAACCAUGCACCGAAGCUGCGGCAGCGACACUAUGUGUUGUUGGGUAGGGGAGCGUUCUGUAAGCCUGUGAAGGUGGCCUGUGAGGGUUGCUGGAGGUAUCAGAAGUGCGAAUGCUGACAUAAGUAACGAUAAAGCGGGUGAAAAGCCCGCUCGCCGGAAGACCAAGGGUUCCUGUCCAACGUUAAUCGGGGCAGGGUGAGUCGACCCCUAAGGCGAGGCCGAAAGGCGUAGUCGAUGGGAAACAGGUUAAUAUUCCUGUACUUGGUGUUACUGCGAAGGGGGGACGGAGAAGGCUAUGUUGGCCGGGCGACGGUUGUCCCGGUUUAAGCGUGUAGGCUGGUUUUCCAGGCAAAUCCGGAAAACCAAGGCUGAGGCGUGAUGACGAGGCACUACGGUGCUGAAGCGACAAAUGCCCUGCUUCCAGGAAAAGCCUCUAAGCAUCAGGUAACAUCAAAUCGUACCCCAAACCGACACAGGUGGUCAGGUAGAGAAUACCAAGGCGCUUGAGAGAACUCGGGUGAAGGAACUAGGCAAAAUGGUGCCGUAACUUCGGGAGAAGGCACGCUGAUAUGUAGGUGAAGCGACUUGCUCGUGGAGCUGAAAUCAGUCGAAGAUACCAGCUGGCUGCAACUGUUUAUUAAAAACACAGCACUGUGCAAACACGAAAGUGGACGUAUACGGUGUGACGCCUGCCCGGUGCCGGAAGGUUAAUUGAUGGGGUUAGCGGUAACGCGAAGCUCUUGAUCGAAGCCCCGGUAAACGGCGGCCGUAACUAUAACGGUCCUAAGGUAGCGAAAUUCCUUGUCGGGUAAGUUCCGACCUGCACGAAUGGCGUAAUGAUGGCCAGGCUGUCUCCACCCGAGACUCAGUGAAAUUGAACUCGCUGUGAAGAUGCAGUGUACCCGCGGCAAGACGGAAAGACCCCGUGAACCUUUACUAUAGCUUGACACUGAACAUUGAGCCUUGAUGUGUAG